rnacentral:rRNA from 1 species
AUGGCACAAGCGGCCAGCGGCCGAUGCGGUUCUCUCCGCUCGGCCAUGGCGCGGCGGGCUCAUUCUCGCGGUGCGCACCGGCUACGCUCCCCGGUCUCCAACUCGAGGCGCAAAAGCGAUACUGCCUCCGGCAGGCCAGUGCACGGCGCGAGCACAUCUCGGCCAACGGCCGGCGUUUGGAGUGGCUGCUCCAUCCUGCAUGGCCGCAGCGGCAGCGUGGCCCCUUCGGCAUCGCCCGCAGCAUCUUCCCCGGCUUCCACCGGCUCACCACGGCCGGAGCAACGACCCGGCGCCAACGUACUCUACGUACCGGCGGUGUAG